rnacentral:rRNA from 1 species
GACGAACCGUGCGAACGUUGUUCGGAAUCAUUGGGCUUAAAGGGUGCGUAGGCGGAGGCUCAGGUCCCGGGUGAAAUCCCACGGCUCAACCGUGGACGUGCCUUGGAAACCGGGUCUCUGGAGGGAGGUAGGGGCACGCGGAACUUCCGGUGGAGCGGUGAAAUGCAUAGAGAUCGGAAGGAACACCGAUGGCGAAAGCAGCGUGCUGGACCUCAUCUGACGCUGAGGCACGAAAGCUAGGGUAGCGAACGGG